CACCGCGGUUAUACGAGAGGCCCAAAUUGAUGACCAACGGCGUAAAGAGUGAUUAGAGAACAACUGGCUAAAGAUGAAAAAACCCUAGGCCGUAAUACGUUAUUCUGGGGAAAGAAAACCUACAAGCGAAAGCAACUUUAACAAACUUGAAUUCACGACCCUUGAGAAA
rnacentral:rRNA from 1 species